rnacentral:rRNA from 1 species
UACGGAGGGUGCGAGCGUUGUCCGGAAUCACUGGGCGUAAAGCGCGCGUAGGCGGGUUGGUAAGUCCGCUGUGAAAGCCCGGAGCUUAACUCCGGAGGGUCGGUGGAUACUGCCAGUCUUGAAGGUGCUAGGGGGAGAUGGAAUUACCGGUGUAGAGGUGAAAUUCGUAGAUAUUCGCAAGAACACCAGUGGCGAAGGCGGCUCACUGGCCCGGUACUGACGCUGAGGUGCGAAAGCCGUGGGGGAGCAAACAGGG